GCACCAGUGAUCUAGUGGUAGAAUAUUACCCUGCAACGGUAUAGACUCGGGUUCAAUUCCCGACUGGUGCA